rnacentral:tRNA from 1 species
GAGGGUGUGGCUCAAGUGGUAGAGCGCAUGCUUAGCAUGCACAGGGUCCUGGGCUCAAUCCCCAGUACUUCCU